CGGCCAUGCCCUCCUAGGGCGUUUCCUCCCACACUCCCCCGAGGCUUCGGCCUCGGGGUCUUUUGCGUCUGCU
rnacentral:sRNA from 1 species